CCUGCCCCCACUCCACCCCGGUUUUCCACACGAACACAGGCUCAGAGAGGCAGCUGGUGGUGUUCAGGACCGAGGAGCUGGCUGUUCGGGCGGAGGAAGCGUGUGUCACUGGCCUGUGUUCCCAGCCUGUGCUCCGAUUAGGAGAACUGCCAGCUUUUGUCCUCUGGUAAUAGGAUUCUACCACCAGCAGCAGCAGACCCAGGAGCAGAGCAGUGGGAGCAGAGGGAGGAUCUGUACGCCACUGAGGCAGAAGGGAAACCGUAGGGGAGAGGAGCCCCUCCUACCCAGUACCACGAUGUCUGCGGUGAUCACCAAUGUCUUCUGGCUCUGGGAGACUGUGCACGUCCAGGUGCCACUCUGCUGCAACUCCAGGUUUCUUCCUCUCCCACUGCCUGAGGUAGGAGGAUUUGAGGAGAUGUGGUGGCCAGUCUGACCCAUCUUUGGACUGUUGAGAUGUAAAUCCCGGAGUCUGCUAUUUCAAGAUUCUUGAUGACCAGAGGAAAGGAUCCUUGAUCCCACAGGAAUUUUCUGGAUUCAACACGAGUUUUCAGCUUGGAGGGACCUGGGAACAGAAGCCACAUGGAGGAGGUUGGGGUGCCCUGAAGACAUGGCAGCCCUGAAGAAGACAAUGCCCACAACCUUUCUGAUCUCAAUUGCUAACUUUCUGCAGAAUCUGUCCCGCAUCAGAAAACCCCAGACUGGUGAGGAGGUCCCAUCACCUUCACUUAACUGGCCAAAACAAUAUCUCACUAACCAAAAUAAAAUAAUGUCCUUAUUUCAAGAGCA